GUACUCUGGUUUUUCUUCAUAUUGUGUAAAUCUUUUACCUUUUACUACUGAUAUCCGUGGAGAGGAACAACCAUAAGUGGAAACAAAUUUUUUGAGGCUUCACAAAGGUGGAGCU